GUCCACGCCGUAAACGAUGAGUGCUAGGUGUUGGGGUCGAACCUCAGUGCCGCAGCUAACGCAUUAAGCACUCCGCCUGGGGAGUACGGUCGCAAGACUGAAACUCAAAGGAAUUGACGGGGACCCGCACAAGUAGCGGAGCAUGUGGUUUAAUUCGACGCAACGCGAAGAACCUUACCAAGGCUUGACAUCCCUUUGACCGGUCUAGAGAUAGACCUUUCCCUUCGGGGACAAAGUGACAGGUGGUGCAUGGUUGUCGU
rnacentral:rRNA from 1 species